rnacentral:rRNA from 1 species
GUGGGGAAUAUUGGACAAUGGGCGAAAGCCUGAUCCAGCCAUGCCGCGUGUGUGAAGAAGGUCUUCGGAUUGUAAAGCACUUUAAGUUGGGAGGAAGGGCAGUAAGUUAAUACCUUGCUGUUUUGACGUUACCGACAGAAUAAGCACCGGCUAACUUCGUGCCAGCAGCCGCGGUAAUACGAAGGGUGCAAGCGUUAAUCGGAAUUACUGGGCGUAAAGCGCGCGUAGGUGGUUCAGCAAGUUGAAGGUGAAAUCCCCGGGCUCAACCUGGGAACUGCCUCCAAAACUGCAUGACUAGAGUACGGUAGAGGGUAGUGGAAUUUCCUGUGUAGCGGUGAAAUGCGUAGAUAUAGGAAGGAACACCAGUGGCGAAGGCGACUACCUGGACUGAUACUGACACUGAGGUGCGAAAGCGUGGGGAGCAAACAGGAUUAGAUACCCGGGUAGUCC